rnacentral:rRNA from 1 species
AGUGAACGCUGGCGGUAGGCCUAACACAUGCAAGUCGAACGGCAGCACAGUAAGAGCUUGCUCUUACGGGUGGCGAGUGGCGGACGGGUGAGGAAUACAUCGGAAUCUACUUUUUCGUGGGGGAUAACGUAGGGAAACUUACGCUAAUACCGCAUACGACCUACGGGUGAAAGCAGGGGAUCUUCGGACCUUGCGCGAUUGAAUGAGCCGAUGUCGGAUUAGCUAGUUGGCGGGGUAAAGGCCCACCCAGGCGACGAUCCGUAGCUGGUCUGAGAGGAUGAUCAGCCACACUAGAACUGAGACACGGUCCAGACUCCUACGGGAGGCAGCAGUGGGGAAUAUUGGACAAUGGGCGCAAGCCUGAUCCAGCCAUACCGCGUGGGUGAAGAAGGCCUUCGGGUUGUAAAGCCCUUUUGUUGGGAAAGAAAAGCAGCAGGUUAAUACCCCGCUGUUCUGACGGUACCCAAAGAAUAAGCACCGGCUAACUUCGUG